rnacentral:lncRNA from 1 species
AUGGGCUCUUUCCAAGGCCUUAAAGGUGCGUGUGUGGCUCAGACCUCACUAGAGUUAACAGACAGCCCCCAAAAUACAGGGACUGUCCUUGCUGCGGGCCGAAUCCUGGCUUGCUGGAGAGACACAUGUGAGGCCUGGCUUGUCCUGUACAUUGCCUCAUUUGGUCCCAGCGCCUGCUCUUGGGCCUUCGCCCCGGAAGAGGCAGCGUGGUGCCCCAAGCCCAGCCGUGGCUCCUGCGGCUUGGGAGUCUCCAGCGUUGCAGCCCUGCCGGAGUUUGCUGUGACAUGGGGGAAACAGCGAGCCAGGGCUAAUACAGCAUCACAUGUCCCCCAGUUUGAGCUGCAGGUACUGCCGAUCCGUGGGGUCAGAAACCUUGGGGAAAACGGAGAGCAGGUGGAAACUUUGGAGACGGGCAGAUCUGGCUUCGCUCACAGCUGUUCUCUUCUGCUGUCUCCCUUUAACAUAGAAAGAAAUUUCUGCUUUCCAUUUUCCAUCUUCUUUCUUUCUCCGGAAAUCUCCGCCUCCUUUGCUAAUUAUCUGACUCUUCUCUUUGUUUCUGCAAGAAAAAUGACUGCGGGGUCUUGUGUUCCCACAGAGCAAUGCUGGUGUGCAGCCAAGGAUGUCACAACCCUUUUUGCCGCUCAGCACCGGGGACCGCAAGCCGCAGCAGCAGGACAGGCACGGGGUGCUUUGACGGGAUGUGCCCCUGCGGCCUGGAUGUGCUGCCCUGGCUCUGCUGGCUGCUGCGGAUCCGCUCUGCCCUGGGGCCMGCAUGGUCCCUGGGGCCGGGAUCCAUCCAGCAGAGCCCUUCCCACCAGCCAGCCAGCCCCAGCCGGGAUCUCUCCCCGCGACGCCUGCUCCUGGCUCCCAACUGUUCGCCCCUGCCAAGCCUCUCCAGCUUCCUCAAGCACCAAAUCCUUUCCCCAGGCGAGAUCCUCCCACCGAGCCCUGCCUUCUCCCCUCCCCAGCCAGGGGCUACGUAGGGACAGGCCACCUGAAAUGGUGCCGUUAAGCAGAUGCACCUCAACUACCUUCAACCUUGCAGGUCCUGCUGCAUUUUGGGCUAAUGGUCUGUAA